UUGAAAUAUGAAAGGAAAGAGACGUUUAGCACUCCCCUAGACAAGGAUGGAACACAUAUAUAAAUGGUAAGGCACUGUCGCCUUUCGGCGGCACUUACCAGAUUUUUUG